CGGAGUGCUCGGGUUGGUAUAUAGGGUUUGACAAAAUCAAAUCAAAUUAUAUUGGUCACAUACACAUGUUUAGCAGAUGUUAUUGUUGAUGUAGCGAAAUGCUCUCAGACGCCAUGAGCAGAGUGCAUACCGAGCGAGCUGCGAGUAGGGAAUGCAUAGGGAGUGCUUCUAGUUCCAACAGUGCAGUAAUGUCUAAGUAAUCUAACAAUUUCACAACAACUACCUAAUACACACACAUCUAAGUAAAAGGAUGGAAUAAGAAUAUGUACAUAUAAAUAUAUGGAUGAGCAUAUCCUGAAGGUGAAGAGGUGCAGUUCCCUUGUUGCUCUGUAAGAAGAGAGAGAUCUAAUCAAUGGAAGAUGGAAUUAAAAUGAAAGAAUUAAAAGUGAAAUGAGAAAGAAAGGCUCCAAUGACCAAGCGCCAACAGGCCACAGUGUCACAGGCCGUCUGGUCUGACACUGUGAGGCAUCUGAGGUCGACACCGAUGGCCUCCAGGUCACCAUGGAGACAGCUAAUGACAUCACUUGGCAUGAUCGUGUCCGGGAAACGAUCCAGGCAAAGUCGACGGAACAGACCAAAUAAAUCAAUUCACAUUCCAAUA